AGGAUGUUAACUAUAUCGGUGGUUUGCUUCCAAUUUCAAAGGCAUCCUCAAUCAUUGAAGGGGAGAAAGUAGAAGGUGCUAAGAAUUUGUUGCUUGAAUUCUCUAAUGAAGUUGCGGACAAUGAUGAAUCCGAAGUGUUG